GUGGCUGUGGCUCAGUGGCAGAGUGCUUAUCUCGCGCAUGUGAGGCACUGGGUUUGAUCCUCAGUAACCACA
rnacentral:tRNA from 1 species